CGGCGUGCCUAAUACAUGCAAGUCGAGCGAACGGACGAGAAGCUUGCUUCUCUGAUGUUAGCGGCGGACGGGUGAGUAACACGUGGAUAACCUACCUAUAAGACUGGGAUAACUUCGGGAAACCGGAGCUAAUACCGGAUAAUAUUUUGAACCGCAUGGUUCAAAAGUGAAAGACGGUCUUGCUGUCACUUAUAGAUGGAUCCGCGCUGCAUUAGCUAGUUGGUAAGGUAACGGCUUACCAAGGCAACGAUGCAUAGCCGACCUGAGAGGGUGAUCGGCCACACUGGAACUGAGACACGGUCCAGACUCCUACGGGAGGCAGCAGUAGGGAAUCUUCCGCAAUGGGCGAAAGCCUGACGGAGCAACGCCGCGUGAGUGAUGAAGGUCUUCGGAUCGUAAAACUCUGUUAUUAGGGAAGAACAUAUGUGUAAGUAACUGUGCACAUCUUGACGGUACCUAAUCAGAAAGCCACGGCUAACUACGUGCCAGCAGCCGCGGUAAUACGUAGGUGGCAAGCGUUAUCCGGAAUUAUUGGGCGUAAAGCGCGCGUAGGCGGUUUUUUAAGUCUGAUGUGAAAGCCCACGGCUCAACCGUGGAGGGUCAUUGGAAACUGGAAAACUUGAGUGCAGAAGAGGAAAGUGGAAUUCCAUGUGUAGCGGUGAAAUGCGCAGAGAUAUGGAGGAACACCAGUGGCGAAGGCGACUUUCUGGUCUGUAACUGACGCUGAUGUGCGAAAGCGUGGGGAUCAAACAGGAUUAGAUACCCUGGUAGUCCACGCCAUAAACGAUGAGUGCUAAGUGUUAGGGGGUUUCCGCCCCUUAGUGCUGCAGCUAACGCAUUAAGCACUCCGCCUGGGGAGUACGACCGCAAGGUUGAAACUCAAAGGAAUUGACGGGGACCCGCACAAGCGGUGGAGCAUGUGGUUUAAUUCGAAGCAACGCGAAGAACCUUACCAAAUCUUGACAUCCUUUGACAACUCUAGAGAUAGAGCCUUCCCCUUCGGGGGACAAAGUGACAGGUGGUGCAUGGUUGUCGUCAGCUCGCGUCGUGAGAUGUUGGGUUAAGUCCCGCAACGAGCGCAACCCUUAAGCUUAGUUGCCAUCAUUAAGUUGGGCACUCUAAGUUGACUGCCGGUGACAAACCGGAGGAAGGUGGGGAUGACGUCAAAUCAUCAUGCCCCUUAUGAUUUGGGCUACACACGUGCUACAAUGGACAAUACAAAGGGCAGCGAAACCGCGAGGUCAAGCAAAUCCCAUAAAGUUGUUCUCAGUUCGGAUUGUAGUCUGCAACUCGACUACAUGAAGCUGGAAUCGCUAGUAAUCGUAGAUCAGCAUGCUACGGUGAAUACGUUCCCGGGUCUUGUACACACCGCCCGUCACACCACGAGAGUUUGUAACACCCGAAGCCGGUGGAGUAACCUUUUAGGAGCUAGCCGUCGAAGGUGGGACAAAUGAUUGGGGUGAAAU
rnacentral:rRNA from 1 species